rnacentral:rRNA from 1 species
CAGCAGCCACGGGAAUACGAAGGGUGCAAGCGUUAAUCGGAAUUACUGGGCGUAAAGGGUGCGUAGGCGGGUUAUUAAGUCAGAGGUGAAAUCCUGGAGCUCAACUCCAGAACUGCCUUUGAUACUGAUAGUCUUGAGUAUGGGAGAGGUGAGUGGAGCUGCGAGUGUAGAGGUGAAAUUCGUAGAUAUUCGCAAGAACACCAGUGGCGAAGGCGGCUCACUGGCCCAUAACUGACGCUGAGGCACGAAAGCGUGGGGAGCAAACAGGAUUAGAUACCCCCGUAGUCCCUGUCUCUUAUAC